GCCCCCGUAGCUCAGCUGGAUAGAGCGGCCGCCUCCUAAGCGGCAGGCCACAGGUUCGAACCCUGUCGAGGGCACCA
rnacentral:tRNA from 1 species